rnacentral:ncRNA from 1 species
UGAGGAUAAGCCCAAAAGCUCAAUUUACUUGUGCCUUUUUGUACUAGGAUCAGUUACGAAAGUAAGGCUUAACGAUCCCUUAAAUAGCCUCAGGUGCGUGAGGAUUGGGGUGACAGACAAGUUACCUCCGGGACAACUGGCUUGUGGCUGCUAAGAGAUCAAAUCAACGCAGCUUUUUGAUUCUUCGAUGUCGGCUCUUCCUAUCCUAGUGAUGUACAAGUUGCUAAGGGUCGGAUUGUUCACCCGUAUUAGGGAUCGUGAGCUGGGUUUAGACCGUCGUGAGCCAGGUUUGUUUUAUCCUACUGGAUAUAGCAUCAUGAUAGUAGAUUGAUUUAGUACGAGAGGAACUGUUGAUUAUGGCCUCUGGUUAGCGAUUAUCGGAAACGGUAUGUCGCGCAGCUACGCCGUCUGGGAUAAUGGCUGAAAGCCUCUUAAGCCAGAAGCCCAUCUAGAAAGUGAUGCACGUGAUGUUGGACCGAUACGAAUAAUCAUACUCAAAAGGUCCGCUUCAUAGGUAACCCAAUGUAGAAGACAUUGUGUGAACGAAGGUACUGUAAGCAGUGGAGUGGCAUUACGUCCACGACCUGUUGAGGUUCAGCUUCGCUUCUAGGUUUCC